rnacentral:rRNA from 1 species
UGCGUAGGCGGUCUUUCAAGCCAGAAGUGAAAGGCUACGGCUCAACCGUAGUAAGCUUUUGGAACUGUAAGACUUGAGUGCAGGAGAGGAGAGUGGAAUUCCUAGUGUAGCGGUGAAAUGCGUAGAUAUUAGGAGGAACACCAGUAGCGAAGGCGGCUCUCUGGACUGUAACUGACGCUGAGGCACGAAAGCGUGGGGAGCAAACAG